rnacentral:rRNA from 1 species
UGUGGCUGGGGGUGAAAGGCCAAUCAAACCGGGAGAUAGCUGGUUCUCCCCGAAAGCUAUUUAGGUAGCGCCUCGUGAAUUCAUCUCCGGGGGUAGAGCACUGUUUCGGCAAGGGGGUCAUCCCGACUUACCAACCCGAUGCAAACUGCGAAUACCGGAGAAUGUUAUCACGGGAGACACACGGCGGGUGCUAACGUCCGUCGUGAAGAGGGAAACAACCCAGACCGCCAGCUAAGGUCCCAAAGUCAUGGUUAAGUGGGAAACGAUGUGGGAAGGCCCAGACAGCCAGGAUGUUGGCUUAGAAGCAGCCAUCAUUUAAAGAAAGCGUAAUAGCUCACUGGUCGAGUCGGCCUGCGCGGAAGAUGUAACGGGGCUAAACCAUGCACCGAAGCUGCGGCAGCGACACUAUGUGUUGUUGGGUAGGGGAGCGUUCUGUAAGCCUGUGAAGGUGUACUGUGAGGUAUGCUGGAGGUAUCAGAAGUGCGAAUGCUGACAUAAGUAACGAUAAAGCGGGUGAAAAGCCCGCUCGCCGGAAGACCAAGGGUUCCUGUCCAACGUUAAUCGGGGCAGGGUGAGUCGACCCCUAAGGCGAGGCCGAAAGGCGUAGUCGAUGGGAAACAGGUUAAUAUUCCUGUACUUGGUGUUACUGCGAAGGGGGGACGGAGAAGGCUAUGUUGGCCGGGCGACGGUUGUCCCGGUUUAAGCGUGUAGGCUGGUUUUCCAGGCAAAUCCGGAAAAUCAAGGCUGAGGCGUGAUGACGAGGCACUACGGUGCUGAAGCAACAAAUGCCCUGCUUCCAGGAAAAGCCUCUAAGCAUCAGGUAACAUCAAAUCGUACCCCAAACCGACACAGGUGGUCAGGUAGAGAAUACCAAGGCGCUUGAGAGAACUCGGGUGAAGGAACUAGGCAAAAUGGUGCCGUAACUUCGGGAGAAGGCACGCUGAUAUGUAGGUGAAGCGACUUGCUCGUGGAGCUGAAAUCAGUCGAAGAUACCAGCUGGCUGCAACUGUUUAUUAAAAACACAGCACUGUGCAAACACGAAAGUGGACGUAUACGGUGUGACGCCUGCCCGGUGCCGGAAGGUUAAUUGAUGGGGUUAGCGGUAACGCGAAGCUCUUGAUCGAAGCCCCGGUAAACGGCGGCCGUAACUAUAACGGUCCUAAGGUAGCGAAAUUCCUUGUCGGGUAAGUUCCGACCUGCACGAAUGGCGUAAUGAUGGCCAGGCUGUCUCCACCCGAGACUCAGUGAAAUUGAACUCGCUGUGAAGAUGCAGUGUACCCGCGGCAAGACGGAAAGACCCCGUGAACCUUUACUAUAGCUUGACACUGAACAUUGAGCCUUGAUGUGUAGGAUAGGUGGGAGGCUUUGAAGUGUGGACGCCAGUCUGCAUGGAGCCGACCUUGAAAUACCACCCUUUAAUGUUUGAUGUUCUAACGUUGGCCCGUUAUCCGGGUUGCGGACAGUGUCUGGUGGGUAGUUUGACUGGGGCGGUCUCCUCCUAAAGAGUAACGGAGGAGCACGAAGGUUGGCUAAUCCUGGUCGGACAUCAGGAGGUUAGUGCAAUGGCAUAAGCCAGCUUGACUGCGAGCGUGACGGCGCGAGCAGGUGCGAAAGCAGGUCAUAGUGAUCCGGUGGUUCUGAAUGGAAGGGCCAUCGCUCAACGGAUAAAAGGUACUCCGGGGAUAACAGGCUGAUACCGCCCAAGAGUUCAUAUCGACGGCGGUGUUUGGCACCUCGAUGUCGGCUCAUCACAUCCUGGGGCUGAAGUAGGUCCCAAGGGUAUGGCUGUUCGCCAUUUAAAGUGGUACGCGAGCUGGGUUUAGAACGUCGUGAGACAGUUCGGUCCCUAUCUGCCGUGGGCGCUGGAGAACUGAGGGGGGCUGCUCCUAGUACGAGAGGACCGGAGUGGACGCAUCACUGGUGUUCGGGUUGUCAUGCCAAUGGCACUGCCCGGUAGCUAAAUGCGGAAGAGAUAAGUGCUGAAAGCAUCUAAGCACGAAACUUGCCCCG